rnacentral:rRNA from 1 species
CAGCCGCCACGGUAAUGCGUAGGGUGCGAGCGUUAAUCGGAAUUAUUGGGCGUAAAGGGUGCGUAGGCGGUUUGGCAAGUCUUAUGUGAAAUCUUCGGGCUCAACCCGAAGUCUGCAUGAGAAACUGCCGGGCUUGAGUAUGGGAGAGGUGAGUGGAAUUUCCGGUGUAGCGGUGAAAUGCGUAGAUAUCGGAAGGAACACCUGUGGCGAAAGCGGCUCACUGGACCAUAACUGACGCUGAGGCACGAAAGCUAGGGGAGCAAACAGGAUUAGAUACCCGGGUAGUCCCUGUCUCUUAUAC